rnacentral:lncRNA from 1 species
UUAUAUAUGUGUUACAUAUUUGUUUCUCGUUCAUUUUUUUACAUAAAUAAGGCCGUUAGUUUUCUCGUUUCAAUUGUUUUACAUUGUCUUAUCGAGGCCUUUUAUAGCUGACUAUGCGGUAUGGGCUUUGCUCAUUGUUGAAGGUCGUACGGUGACCUAUAGUUGUUAAUGUCUGUGUCAUUUUGGUCUUUUGUGGAUAGUUGUCUCAUUGGCAAUCAUACCACAUCUUCUUUUUUAUAUU